rnacentral:sRNA from 1 species
AUAUAUUUAUAUCAUCUUCAAUUGGUUAAGGCCAUUUUAUUAUUAUCCAUUUGUUAGAUCUUAUACAAAUGGCCUUUAUUAAAAUAAACUUUAAUAUUAUAAUAAAAAACUAAAUUAUCUAAAUUUUGAAUGUUUUGUUUCUAAAUUUUAUUAGGUAUAAAUAAUAGUUAUAAGAUAUUUUAUUAGUGGUAUCAAAUAAGUUUUACUAUUUAAUAAAUUAUUAUACCAUUUAAUAUAUUAGGCGAUAUAGUUUCUUCUUUUUCUUUCCAUAAUAUUUAGUUUGAAAUAAUUUGAAAUUUUUGCGAUUUAGUAAUGUCGAAAAUAUAGGUUAUUAUAACGAAACCCCGAAAAACAUUUCUACGUUAUUAUUUACUAGCACGUAAAAUACUAAUUGGUGGUAUACUAAUUGGUGGUUAUAAAUAUUAUUAAAAAUUAUAAUUUGAUUACUUCUUAUUUUAUGCGCGAUUGCGGUAAUUUUCCAUUAUUAUAUCACAGAUUUUAAAUCAAAUUUACAUGGGGUGUAAAAUAUAAAUUUAUAUAUUUUUACCUUUAUUAUAUUUCUCAUAUUAGUAUAUAUAAAUAUAGUUACUAGCCCGAUUUAAUAAUUUAUUCAAAUUGCGGAACCCGCUCGGAUAAUAAAAAGUAGUAAAUGCCUUUUUAAUAUCCAACCCAAAUUACAGAUUCCUUUUAAAGUAAAAUUGAAUGGACUUAAUUAUAAUAAAUAUAUUUAAAUUUAAAUUAAUUAAACGGCCCAUUAAUGGGGUUAUAUUACCUUAUAUAAUAAGCAAAUUUCAUUUUCAAAAUAUUAAUAUAUAAUCGAACGAUUUUAUUUCUAUUAAAUUGUUAUAUUCUUAUGAAAUUUUGCAAAUUUUAAUAUAUAAUAUUUGUAAAAUUGGCGAUAUGUUCUUUUUUAACUAUCAGUUUUAAUAUUAAAACAUUCCCAUUACAUCGCCCCAUCUUCAAAUAUAAAAUACCCCAAUUCGAUUGGAUUUAAAACUGUUAUAUGGAUAAAAAAUAAUAUAAUACUAGCAAGUGCUAAAUAAUUAUAGGAAUAUUAUACCCUACAAAUAUACUUAAAACAUUUGUUUUUAUAUAUAUAAACAAAAAUUAUUAUUAUAACAACGUAAUAAAAAUAUUAGAAAAAACAUAGUUUUAUAUAUUUUAACUUGUUAUUAAUAUGUAUUAUUUUACAUAUAAUAGGUCCCCUUUUAUUUAUAUAUAAGUUUUAAUAUAUAGCGCCGAAGUGGGGUUAUUGGAUUUCCGUUAAUUUAUUAUAUAUAGGAAUUGUAAUUUAAGAGUUAACGCAUAAGAUUAACUACUCCAUAUCGGAUUUAAUAUCCACCCUGCAUUUACAAAUUAUCUGCUUUAUACCAGGUUAAAAACUCCACCAAAUUUUCAUUCAAAUGCAAAUCCAAAGAUUAUUUAUAUGCAAAUAAGGGUAUUUUUUCAAAAGUUUAUAUAAAUUAAUUUUUU